GACGAACGCUGGCGGCGUGCUUAACACAUGCAAGUCGAACGGAAAGGCCCUGCUUGCAGGGUACUCGAGUGGCGAACGGGUGAGUAACACGUGGGUGAUCUGCCCUGCACUUCGGGGUAAGCCUGGGGAACUGGGUCUAAUACCGGAUAGAGGCGAUCUUUAGUGUGAUGGGUGGAUGGAUUUUUCGGUGUAGGAUGAGCUCGCGGGCUAUCAGCUUGUUGGUGGGGUAAUGGCCUACCAAGGCGGCGACGGGUAGCCGGCCUGGGGGGGUGGACGGCCACAUUGGGGCUGAGGUACGGCCCAGGCUCCUACGGGGGGCAGCAGGGGGGAAUAAUGCACAAUGGGGGCGAGGCUGGUGCAGCGACGCCGCGUGGGGGAUGACGGCCUUCGGGUUGUAAACUCGUUUCGCUAGGGACGAAGCUUUGUGUGACGGUACCUAGAUAAGAAGCACCGGCUAACUACGUG
rnacentral:rRNA from 1 species